rnacentral:lncRNA from 1 species
GGCAGACAUUUUGGAAAUUCCAACGCCAAAUUCCACAUCUACCAAUGUUGCUCAUCGUUACCAUGAAGUUUCAAAAAAUUUGGAGCAUUUUGAUGUUUUUGAAAUUUUUGGUGCAGUUUCCAUGGCAACAUAGUAGUUCCAAUGAUUGCCAAAAUCAUCCAAAACCAGUAUAUGGCCGGCACCUACAUUGUAUCAAAAUAUGAGGAGUCUGAGUUUAAGAAUCUCCAAAUUAUUCACCAAAACCAAAAACUGGUUUUUUUCACAAUUAUUCUGUUUCCAUGGAAACGGCAGCCAUUUUUUAUGGUCUUAGACCCACCUGCACCCCGAAAUUUUUUGUUCCACCUUAUAGUGAACUAUCAUUAAGAUUGGUUCCAUUUCACUCCAAAAAACCUGCCGGACAAAAUAGGUGGAAGUAUAAUAAUAAUAAUACAGAAAAAGAAACAGAGGAAAAGCAAUAUGUCACCCGACAUUGUCGAUCGGGUGACAUAAAAUAAUAGUGAAAAAGAAACAGAGGAAUAGCAAUAUGUCACCCGACAUUGUCGAUCGGGUGACAUAAUAAUAAUAAUAAUAAUAAUAAUAGUGAAAAAGAAACAGAGGAAUAGCAAUAUGUCACCCGACAUUGUCGAUCGGGUGACAUAAAAACUAGAAUUGCCAUUGCAAGCAAUAGCGGAUGUCACCCUGGU